GGCGAACGCUGGCGGCGGGCUUAACACAUGCAAGUCGAACGGAAAGGCCCUGCUUUUGUGGGGUGCUCGAGUGGCGAACGGGUGAGUAACACGUGAGUAACCUGCCCUUGACUUUGGGAUAACUUCAGGAAACUGGGGCUACUACCGGAUCGGAGCUCCUGCUGCAUGGUGGGGGUUGGAACGUUUCGGCGGGUGGGGAUGGACUCGCGGCUUAUCAGCUUGUUGGUGGGGUAGUGGCUUACCAAGGCUUUGACGGGUAGCCGGCCUGAGAGGGUGACCGGCCACAUUGGGACUGAGAUACGGCCCAGACUCCUACGGGAGGCAGCAGUGGGGAAUAUUGCACAAUGGGCGGAAGCCUGAUGCAGCAACGCCGCGUGCGUGAUGACGGCCUUCGGGUUGUAAACCGCUUUCGCCUGUGACGAAGCGUGAGUGACGGUAAUGGGUAAAGAAGCACCGGCUAACUACGUG
rnacentral:rRNA from 1 species